AAAGAGGCUUAUUUAAGCUGCCUCCAAGAUACUUCCACGCUCCCUUCUUUUUAAAAUAACAUGUAGAAUUUAGAGCAAAAAAGGAUCAUCACCUUUAAUCCUAACCAAAAUCAACGUAGUCCUUAUUCAGGAUAUGGAAAUACAGCUGCAGUGGAAAGCAAGGAAGUUAUUUACUGCAUUUAGGGGUGGAAUUUCAGCUGAAAACAAGGGAAGGAGAGAUCUUCUUUGAAUCAGGAGCUCAGAUGUAGGUUUACUAGUUUUUCAGUGCACUGAAGCAGGAAAAAAGACUCUUCAUCGGAAGUUAGCAGAGCUGUUCAUGAGUGAGAGAACAUGAGGGAAGAAAAUAAUUGCUAAGAUGAAGCAGCUCAGGGGAGAAGAGAGGAAGAGAUUGAAAACAAGCCUCAGCUGCCAUCAACCUUCAAAUCCCUUUUUGUGCCACAGUCCUCCAAGCCAUCUUGUACAUGCCAGCAUCUGUGAGCAACCCAGAAUACCGUUGGCCUUCCAGACUGCAAGCACACACAGCUGGCUCAUGUUCGCCUUUUCAUCCACCAGGACCCCCAAGAGCUUAUUUGUAGCACUGCUCAAGAGGAAUUCUUCUUCCACUCUGUACACAGAUCUGGGAUUUCUGUUCCCCAAGAGCAACAUCUUGCAUACCCAGAGAAGAAAAGCAGCAUGCACAAGGUCAUGUACCUUGGGGCCUUUGUCAUCUUGGUCGUCUUUGUCAUCCGGACGCUCCAAUAAGAUCCCUUCUGCACAAGUGAAUGGGGCCUACAGGCACUCACGAGUUUGGAGGGAAAAGUAGUUACUAGAAAAGAGCAAGACAAGGGGAAGAAAUGUACUUGCUGAGAAAGAGGCAUGAAGACAUUUCCCAAGCUGGCAAGCUCUGGAAGCUCAAAGUUCCGUUGAACCUGCAAGACCUCAUAAACUUGGACCCCAAUAAACAGUCAAAUCUACUGGGGGCAGCCAGUGCAUACUGGCAUCAUCAGUAGAAUAUGUGACCUGGACCACAGCCAAGGGGUUCUCUGCACACUGCUGCAUGCAGAGAAACAAGUGCAGAACUGUAUACACACCUGAUAAAACAAGGAUCACAGAAGACUUUUCCAAAGAGCUAUGUAGAACCCAGCACGACCCUCAGCCUGGGAGACUGCAGCUGAGGUCAGCCUCCCCACUGCUGCUCCAUUUGGGAAUGUGUGAGUCUGCUGCACGAGGGAAUAACUCAAUGUGGUGCCUGAAUACUUUUCUUCUGUUAAUAAUAACAGCUUAAUGAAUAAAAG
ensembl:lncRNA